UCCUACGGGAGGCAGCAGUAGGGAAUCUUCCGCAAUGGACGAAAGUCUGACGGAGCAACGCCGCGUGAGUGAUGAAGGCUUUCGGGUCGUAAAACUCUGUUGUUAGGGAAGAACAAGUGCUAGUUGAAUAAGCUGGCACCUUGACGGUACCUAACCAGAAAGCCACGGCUAACUACGUGCCAGCAGCCGCGGUAAUACGUAGGUGGCAAGCGUUAUCCGGAAUUAUUGGGCGUAAAGCGCGCGCAGGUGGUUUCUUAAGUCUGAUGUGAAAGCCCACGGCUCAACCGUGGAGGGUCAUUGGAAACUGGGAGACUUGAGUGCAGAAGAGGAAAGUGGAAUUCCAUGUGUAGCGGUGAAAUGCGUAGAGAUAUGGAGGAACACCAGUGGCGAAGGCGACUUUCUGGUCUGUAACUGACACUGAGGCGCGAAAGCGUGGGGAGCAAACAGGAUUAGAUACCCUGGUAGUCCACGCCGUAAACGAUGAGUGCUAAGUGUUAGAGGGUUUCCGCCCUUUAGUGCUGAAGUUAACGCAUUAAGCACUCCGCCUGGGGAGUACGGCCGCAAGGCUGAAACUCAAAUGAAUUGACGG
rnacentral:rRNA from 1 species